AUACGUAGGGAGCGAGCGUUGUCCGGAAUUACUGGGUGUAAAGGGAGCGUAGGCGGGAGUGCAAGUCAGAUGUGAAAUGCAUGGGCUUAACCCAUGAGCUGCAUUUGAAACUGCAUUUCUUGAGUGAAGUAGAGGUAAGCGGAAUUCCUGGCGUAGCGGUGAAAUGCGUAGAUAUCAGGAGGAACACCGGUGGCGAAGGCGGCUUACUGGGCUUUUACUGACGCUGAGGCUCGAAAGCGUGGGGAGCAGACAGGAUUAUAUACCCUGGUAGUCCACGUUGUAAACGAUGAUUACUAGGUGUGGGGGGACUGACCCCUUCCGUGCCGCAGUUAACACAAUAAGUAAUCCACCUGGGGAGUACGGCCGCAAGGUUGAAACUCAAAUGAAUUGACGGGG
rnacentral:rRNA from 1 species